UUUGUGUUUAUGUAGUUUAUUUAUGUUAAGGUAAUUUAUUUGUGUUUAUGUAUUUAUUUAUGUUAAGGUAAUUUAUUUGUGUUUAUGCAGUUUAUUUAUGUCAAGGUAAUUUAUUUGUGUUUAUGCAGUUUAUUUGUGUUAAGGUAAUUUAUUUUGUAUGUAGUUUAUUUGUGUUCAUGUAGUUUAUUUGCGUUAAGGUAGUUUAAUUCUGUUCAUGAGAUUUAUUUGUGUUUGUGCAGUUUAUUUAUGUCCAUGUAGUUUAUUUGUGCUUAUGUAAUUUACUUGUGUUUGUGUAGUUUACUUGUGAUCAUGUAAUGUAUUUGUGUUAAGGUAAUUAAUGUGUAUUUAUCUAGUCUAUUUGUGCCAAGGUAAUAUGUGUUCAUGUAAUUUAUUUGUCUUAAGGUAAUUUAUUUGUGUCCAUGCAGUUUAUUUGUGUUCAUUUUGUUUGUGUUAAAGUAAAGUAAUUUAUUUGAGUUUGUGUUGUUUAUUUGUAUUAAAGUAAUUUAUUUGUGUUCAUGUAGUUGAUUUGUGUUAAAGUAAUUUAUUUGUGUUUAUGUAGUUUAUUUGUUUUAAGGUAGUUUAUUUGUGUCCAUGUAUUUUAUUUGUUUUCAUUUCGUUUUUUUUUGUGCUAAGGUAAUUUAUUUGUGUUAUGUUGUUUAUUUGUGUUAAGGUAAUUUGUUUGUAUUUAUGUAGUUUAUUUGUGUUAAUGUGUAUGUCGCUGACGUGUGUUCUUGCCAUUUAUUUGUGUUUAGGUUGUUUAUUUGUGUUAAGGUAAUUUAUUUUUGUUUACGUAGUUUAUUGUAUUUCUAUAGUUUAAAUCUAUUUGUGCUCAG
ensembl:lncRNA